CUCUAGUGGCUAGACUCAGUUCAGUCACUUUAUUAUCCCAAAUGGGGAAACUUGAUCUGCAGUCAGGAGUGCAAGAUUAAAAAAAACACAUACAAACAACCUACGAAUAAACAAAAAGACAACAGCACAA